CCUACGGGUGGCAGCAGUAGGGAAUAUUGCACAAUGGGGGAAACCCUGAAGCAGCAACGCCGCGUGGAUGAAGAAGGUCCUCGGAUCGUAAACUCCUUUUGUUAGAGAAGAUAAUGACGGUAUCUAACGAAUAAGCACCGGCUAACUCCGUGCCAGCAGCCGCGGUAAUACGGAGGGUGCAAGCGUUACCCGGAUUCACUGGGCGUAAAGAGCGCGUAGGCGGGAAUGCAAGUCAGAAGUGAAAUCCUAGGGCUUAACCAUAGAACUGCCUUUGAAACUGUUAGGCUAGAGGCCAGGAGGGGUAGGUGGAAUUCUUGGUGUAGGGGUAAAAUGCGUAGAGAUCAAGAGGAAUACUCAUUGCGAAGGCGACCUGCUAGAACGUAACUGACGUUGAUGCGCGAAAGCGUGGGGAGCAAACAGGAUUAGAUACCCGAGUAGUC
rnacentral:rRNA from 1 species